UAGCACCUUAUUCCGUCAUAUUGUCUCUGGAUUUAAUGUAUUCCUAAUGUCACUUUUAUAAACAAAUAGAAGUUAAAACUUUACAAUAUUUUUGUAAAUUUGCAAUUGGAAGCUGCAAAAGGGACAUUAGAAUGUCAGCAAGGUUGGAACAAUUUUCGAUUUAAGUGGAAUUUACGGAAGGAUUUGACGGUUGACCUCACAACUAAUCUGCAAAAUGAAGAAGCAACAUAUUUUGUUACCGCUUAGAAGAAACAAUA